GUAGAAUUUCGGCAGCACAUAUACUAAAAUUGGAACGAUACAGAGAAGAUUAGCAUGGCCCCUGCUCAUGUGUUUUUGUUUUUAAGGAAACCCUGCUACAUUUU
ensembl:snRNA U6 U6 spliceosomal RNA